UGGCUGAGCCGAAAACAAAGUGUGGGAAUACGUCUCCCAUUGGCUAAAUUACUGUCUGCAGGAGUGUUAGCGCAAAUAUUUAGACGGAGAUCCAAUUAUUACAAUGUGAUAUAGGCAAAUAUAUUAUGAGUAGAACAUUUGAUGCUGAAUUCCUUUCGUUAAUAAAUAUGCUGUUGUUAUUUUCAGCAACAAGUACGCAAACAGACGUCGAUGGCUGGUAGGCGUGGUGGUGUCUGCCAAUUUUGACGCGAAAGGCAUGUUUUUGUGUGAUAACUCGACUGGAGAAGUUUGCUUUUUACUCUCUCGUUGGCAGUCACGAACAUUAGUUAGUUACCGGAAAUUGAAAGUUAAAUGUUUACUAAACUUGCAUCUAAAAUGAGUAUAACCUCUGCAAGAGUUUCACGCCAAGCAGAUGAGUACGUGCGGUUAUCCCUGGUUAAAUGUACAGGACUCGGAAUUACGACGGGUACAAGUAAAGCAGUAAUUUACCUAGAACUGGUAGCAACAUCAAUGAAGUUACCUCUGGACAAAGAAUAUGACUUCAAAUUAUCCGGGUUGAACAAGAAGCAGUAUCAAAGCAAUCUGAAGGCCUGAGAUUGAAUGCAUGCUUGGCCUCGAGUCUCACCUAGGAGUCCUUAACCUUCAAAUAUUUUGUCAACUACUAUUU